CCUCAGCGCCCUGCGCGCGGGGUGAGGCGCGGUGGUGGGAAUAAAGUCCUCCCUUGAGCGGCGGGAGGCCCUGGCACAGGCUGCCCAGAGAAGCUGUGGAUGCCCCAUCCCUGCAAGUGUCCAAGGCCAGGCUGGACGGGGCUUGGAGCAACCUGGGAUAGGGGAAGGUGUCUCUGCCCAUGGAAUUAGGGCUGGAAUGAGCUGGUCUUUAAAGUCGUUUCCAACCCAACCCAGUUUGGGAAUCUACGAUCUUCAGAUGUUAAAAUUCAUGCUAGAAAUGAGCAGGUGUCUUGAGCAGUCGUAUAUCCCACCUAAGUACAAGGGUGACUUAUAAAGAACCUCGAACGUGUUGUAAAUAAGCAGGAGUUGCAAAGCAGUGUAUUUUUCCAAAACAGACCCCUUUGCAUUUAAAGGGAAUUUGGAGCUCUUGGAGAUGUUUUAACUGCAAGUUUUAUGGGGCUGCCCCAGAGUCGGCCCAGACAUUGACCUGUGCACUGAGCCGUGAGACUUGUGGAAUUCCUGGCUGGUUUCACUGGCAGGUUGUGGCCUCCCCAUCCCUUUGGGAAUUGUCCAACCCCAGGCUGGGCAAGGCUUGGAGCAACCUGCUCUAGUGCAAGGGAUCCCUGCCCACGGCAGGGGGUUGGAACCAGAUCAUCUUCAUUGUCCCUUCUCCCUGGUCCACUCUGUGACUCCACAGCACAUCCCACGGGGAGCAGGGAAGGAUCAGCCGCUCCCACCCCACCGUCCCCUCAGCCUCCCAGGGGGGAAUCAGAGGCAAAGUAGGACAAUGGUGUCCUGGGACAGCUCGGCUGGACCUGGGCCACUGGAACUGGCAUUUUGUAUAUUUUAUAUAAUAUAAUAUAUAUUAUAUUUAUAUAAUAUAAAUAUUUCACAUUACAUAUAUUUUAUAUAUUGUAUAUAUUUUAUAUAUUUCAUAUGGGCCACUGCACCUGAGCAUCCCUGCUCCACUCCAGCAGGGAUCUGUUCUGGGGCAGCAAAAUCACUGUAAUAUCAUAGAACCAUAGAAUAAUAUAUCCUUUUACUUCGGUCAGUGGCAGCUGUUCCUCCAAACCAGUUCUCUUUCCUGGAGGGAGAAUUUAAAUGUAAGGGUUCUGUUGUUUAGUUGUAGAUCUCAGGGGAGGUGGGAUAUGGAAUAUUUGGAUCAACAAAGCCAACCCGGUCUUUUUCAUAUACAAGACAUAUGAAUACAUCACUUAAAUGAACAACUUCUUUACAGCUGUGGACAGGUUUUAUACUGCCAUGAGGGGAUUCAGACACAAGUUAAAAACUUUGCCGUUCAAAGACCUGUUCCCUCCAUCCAAUUCCAGCAAUUAAGGGAGAGCUCCCUCCUCUGGAGCGCUUUAUCCUUGCGCUGAGAACAUCGGGCUGUGGAAUCGCUGAGGAAAUUACUGAAUUCAGUAAAAUCUCUUUUAAAAUCCCUUUGACCCAUAGCACAAAACGCAAAAUAUGUUGGAUUCACUGAAUAUAGAAAUAAAUUCACGUGUGUAUGGGCUGAUACCACCGAAGAAAUCAUUUCUGUGCUGUUGUAGGUUGGUUUGAACAGCUGUAAAACAAAUAGAUUUAACCUCAGGGCGUUUGCAACCGAAAAUUAAGUACAUUUCCCCAGCCAAAACAAAACACGUGUUUUGGGAAUUUGAAUGUUCUCCGUGGAAGGAACUGCAUUUUCUUCACAAACAGGUGUUUCUGGGGGUGAAUCACAGAGGAAAAGAUGAAUUAAAAAUAGGUGGUGGUGUAAUUUCUGUGAGAGGCUUCUGAGCAGGGAGAGUUUCUGAUUUAUUGAUUCCACCACUACUUGGAAAAAUAGAGGUAAUUUGUCUCUGUAAAUAGAAGUGGAACAAAGAAACUUGUCUUCAUUACCACUUUUUUCCCUUAUGGAAACACAAUUUUUUUUCUAACUUCUUGUCUGAAAAGAAAACCACAAUUACUGUAUAGAUUAAUUGCAGCUAAAUUAGCCCAACUUUUCAAACUCGAUUGCCACAUAAAACUGCAUAUUCUACUGCCAAAACAUGCUCACACAAUCUUCUAUUUGUAAGAUUUAACACUUCUUAAUCUAUUUAAUGGUUAGCAAAGUGAGUUAAGGAAAUAAUUAGUCCGUAAAGCAAUGGAAUUUAAGAAGCCUGGUUCGAAUUUGAUUAAAAUUGGCCAACAGGAUCAAAAAUUAAUCAAAGGGGGCUGACAGAGAGACUGCCUUGAACACCUUGUUUUCCUCAAGAGACAGGAGCACUGUGGGUCAGAACAAAAUUUAAAUGCUUUGUGAUGUACUAAAUUAAUGUUUAAGGAGACUGUAUAACGUAAAAUUCAGAUUAGAUUAGCAAGAUAUAAAUAUAAAUAAAUAUAAACCCCAAAUAGCUGAAAUUUGCUAAUGCCUAAGAUGUGAUUUCCCACUAACACAGCUACAAUGGGACCAGUUGUGCCGAGGGUUUAUCCCAUGGAAAGCUUUGCCAACAUAAUAUUUAGAGGGUUUUCUGCAGAGCAAACGCUGCUCCCUUAGGAAUAAACCCCUCCAAGCCCAGAAACAGGCAAUUAUCCCUCUGACAGGUUUGCUUUGCCAUAUAUUACGUGUAACAAACCAGGAAAUGAGACUGAAAUAUAAAAUAAGGUGCAAAUUUUCUGCAGCUUUUCUAAUGGAAUUACAUUAAUCCACACAGAAACAAACAGGAAUACUUCCAUGUCACCUAACCUAGAAACCAGAAGCGUUUUCUAGAACAGAAGCAACGUAUGCUGGGGCUUUUUCUGUUUGUUUUUUAUUUCCCUGACUUAUUAUUUUAUCAGCAUGUGGCUGGUUAUUCAUUUCCUGAGGAAAAACCAAUAAUCAAUGUCUGCCAGCGUUUGCUUUUUAUUUAAUUAGGAACACAGGACUGGAAAGAACCACUUAGAUCACCAAGCCCAGUCUCUAAUUAAACACUCUUCAAAAAAUAUCGAUUCAUCAAAGUUGCACAAAUAUGGUCAGUUUUAUAACACUGUAUCUCUGCAGAGACUGUGAGUGAUCUUCUGCUUUUUUUGUUUGUAAGGGUUUUUUAGUAUAAAGAGUGACUAUUAUUUCAAUGCAAAGAGCUCAUCACACAGACAUGUGAUUUUCAGUGAUUUUAUAUGGCACAAUUACAGUGCUUUGCACUGGAAAUUAGCAGCAUUUGAUCUAUGAUUAUUAUUAUUAAAUCUUUGUGUUAAUUUUCAUA